UGUACAACUUGCAGCAUUUUCUCUGGUUUUGCACUCACACUAGAGCACUGCAGCCCAGAGGGCUUGCCAGUGACAUUAACUCAUAGUCCUCCCCCCUGCCGCCCAGCCACAACACCCCAGCCUGGAGCUGUCUGUGAGGUGCCAAGGCACGGGCAGGGCUGGAGAGCCAGGUUCUCUCCCAUUCACUUAGAGGACAAGUUUACAUUGUACCUUGUGAAUGAUUUUUCUCUGUCUCGCUUUUUCUUUUCUUUUUUUUUUCCUUGUUGGUUACCCUGAUUGUACCUCUGCAUCCCCCUCCCCCUCCACGUGAUGGGCCCGACAUGCGCAGCAGCGCCAGGGGAGCCAGAGGCACAUCUGCAGACUGACGUCAGUGUGCGCUCAGCCUCCCAGGCAAAGCUGCCAAAACUUCCCUCUGCUGCUGGAGCUCUAAACUUGGCUGCAGGCCGGCAGUGAGAAGAGACCUAGAGCUACUUCAACAAAACUUUCUUGAGUCCUCCCUGCCUGCUUUCUCUAUCUCCCUUUCUCUCUCUCACCCUCCAACUCUGAUGAGAUUCACAUGGUACUUUGCCCAGAAGAAGGUGGCCAAGAAGAGGGUACUCACCCCCACCCCAAAAUAAGUCUGUUUUCCUUCCUCCACCCCCCUCCCUUUUUUAACUUUUUCGGUUGGAAAGACAAAAUGUGCAGGGUGAUAGAUUGGGUGAAUUGAUGGCAUCCCUUUCUCUGCCAAGUCAGUCCGCUCUCUAAAAAUCCCUUUUGGGAAGACUGGAGGAUUUCACUUUGUUGGAGAAUAUAACUGGUGUGGCUUGAAAAAGGGGGAAAGCAGAGAGGAAUACGGGACUCGUACAGUGCUAUCUCUAUUGUUUGAAAUUUACUUUAUAUCAGAAAUUGAAGAUGAAAACGGUGCUGCCGCAAGACCUAAUACCGUCCGAGGACAGAUUUAGCCUGGAGAUGCUGUUGAGGAUGAACAGCUGCUGUGGGAGAAGUUUGAGCUUGGCGUGGUGGCUGAGCGGAGGCAGCUCCGCACUGUUGCCAGCGGCAGAGGCUGAGGGGAAGAGGAAGGACAUGGGCGGGGCUCUACCUAUCUCAUGA
rnacentral:lncRNA from 1 species